UAAAGAUCCCGUCUACCUGCUGUGUUAUAAACUGAAAUAGUCGUUCUCACGAAAGAAGUGGCAUAAAGCUUAAGAACGGAAUAUCCUUUUAUCGUUUUCCAGCGUGGAAAAAUAAUAGUGCAAGCCUUGUUUCAGAGGUGACAAAAAGGCUACGAAUGGCAUGGAUAGCAGCGGUAAGGAGGCCAAGAUUACCUUCGACAUCACUCCACCACACAUGAUGGUGUGUUCAAAAGCAUUUUCACCAAGGAAAUUGCUGGCUUUAUAGGAGAAGAUGCCAGACUUUUGUGCAGCCUACGUAAUCGGAUGCUCCAAUCGCCGUAGUCUCAAAACGAGAGCCCGUGGGAUCACCUUUCACCUGUUUCCCAAAACCGGAAAGAUGAGGAGGCAGUGGGAACUUGCCCUAAGAAGAGACGGUUUUGUUGCCUCUGACAGGACACUGCUCUGCAGUGAGCACUUCAGGAGUGAGGACUUUGACAGAACAGGGCAGAAUGUCCGGCUUAAAGAUGGUGUUGUGCCAAACAUUUUCAACUUUCCAGCUCAUCUUCAAAGGUUGGCAACAAGAAGCACAAGCACCUCUAGAAGAGCGGAAGACAUCCUGCCAAUGGACUUGUCUCAGGAUGUACCUCAACAUGAUGUUGGAGUCACUGGAGCGAGGAGUUCGAGCCGCAAGCGUCAGGCCACUGACCACUUGUAUGCAUUCCCUACCAGCUGUCAUUGACACCUUAACAAGCCUGUCAGCUGUAGAUAUGUCCUCUGCAGCAGGAGGAGAAGAUCUUCCAUCCCUAUUUGCUGACAUUCCUGCCCUAGUACAUGACCACAGCUACCUUCCCAUCCACUUUGGUCUUGUGGACAACGCUCCGUGUACAUUUCAGGAUUUGUUGUGCGACGGGCUCUGAAGAAGCUGUCGUGUGAUGUCUGCCAUGCCAGCCUAGGGACAGACGCUGCAUCUGCCAUCAAGGACCAGAGCUACCACCUGCUGACCUUAAAAAACAAUGGAGGUCUGGUGAUU